AGAAUCAACGCUGGCGGCGUGCCUAACACAUGCAAGUCGAACGAGAAAGUGGAGCAAUCCAUGAGUAAAGUGGCGACCGGGUGAGUAACACGUGACUAACCUACCUUCGAGUGGGGGAUAACCUCGGGAAACCGGGGCUAAUACCGCAUAACAUCUUUGAAGUGGAAAUUUCGGAGAUCAAAGGAGCAAUUCGCUGGAAGAGGGGGUCGCGGCUGAUUAGCUAGUUGGCGGGGUAAUGGCCCACCAAGGCUUAGAUCGGUAGCCGGCCUGAGAGGGCGCACGGCCACACUGGAACUGAAACACGGUCCAGACUCCUACGGGAGGCAGCAGUGGGGAAUUUUGCGCAAUGGGGGAAACCCUGACGCAGCAACGCCGCGUGGAGGAUGAAGUCCCUUGGGACGUAAACUCCUUUCGACCCGGACGAUAAUGACGGUACGGGUGGAAGAAGCCCCGGCUAACUUCGUGCCAGCAGCCGC
rnacentral:rRNA from 1 species